AAAUUGAAGAGUUUGAUCAUGGCUCAGAUUGAACGCUGGCGGCAGGCCUAACACAUGCAAGUCGAACGGUAACAGGAAGCAGCUUGCUGCUUUGCUGACGAGUGGCGGACGGGUGAGUAAUGUCUGGGAAACUGCCCGAUGGAGGGGGAUAACUACUGGAAACGGUAGCUAAUACCGCAUAACGUCGCAAGACCAAAGAGGGGGGGCCUUCGGGCCUCUUGCCAUCGGAUGUGCCCAGAUGGGAUUAGCUAGUAGGUGGGGUAACGGCUCACCUAGGCGACGAUCCCUAGCUGGUCUGAGAGGAUGACCAGCCACACUGGAACUGAGACACGGUCCAGACUCCUACGGGAGGCAGCAGUGGGGAAUAUUGCACAAUGGGCGCAAGCCUGAUGCAGCCAUGCCGCGUGUAUGAAGAAGGCCUUCGGGUUGUAAAGUACUUUCAGCGGGGAGGAAGGGAGUAAAGUUAAUACCUUUGCUCAUUGACGUUACCCGCAGAAGAAGCACCGGCUAACUCCGUGCCAGCAGCCGCGGUAAUACGGAGGGUGCAAGCGUUAAUCGGAAUUACUGGGCGUAAAGCGCACGCAGGCGGUUUGUUAAGUCAGAUGUGAAAUCCCCGGGCUCAACCUGGGAACUGCAUCUGAUACUGGCAAGCUUGAGUCUCGUAGAGGGGGGUAGAAUUCCAGGUGUAGCGGUGAAAUGCGUAGAGAUCUGGAGGAAUACCGGUGGCGAAGGCGGCCCCCUGGACGAAGACUGACGCUCAGGUGCGAAAGCGUGGGGAGCAAACAGGAUUAGAUACCCUGGUAGUCCACGCCGUAAACGAUGUCGACUUGGAGGUUGUGCCCUUGAGGCGUGGCUUCCGGAGCUAACGCGUUAAGUCGACCGCCUGGGGAGUACGGCCGCAAGGUUAAAACUCAAAUGAAUUGACGGGGGCCCGCACAAGCGGUGGAGCAUGUGGUUUAAUUCGAUGCAACGCGAAGAACCUUACCUGGUCUUGACAUCCACGGAAGUUUUCAGAGAUGAGAAUGUGCCUUCGGGAACCGUGAGACAGGUGCUGCAUGGCUGUCGUCAGCUCGUGUUGUGAAAUGUUGGGUUAAGUCCCGCAACGAGCGCAACCCUUAUCCUUUGUUGCCAGCGGUCCGGCCGGGAACUCAAAGGAGACUGCCAGUGAUAAACUGGAGGAAGGUGGGGAUGACGUCAAGUCAUCAUGGCCCUUACGACCAGGGCUACACACGUGCUACAAUGGCGCAUACAAAGAGAAGCGACCUCGCGAGAGCAAGCGGACCUCAUAAAGUGCGUCGUAGUCCGGAUUGGAGUCUGCAACUCGACUCCAUGAAGUCGGAAUCGCUAGUAAUCGUGGAUCAGAAUGCCACGGUGAAUACGUUCCCGGGCCUUGUACACACCGCCCGUCACACCAUGGGAGUGGGUUGCAAAAGAAGUAGGUAGCUUAACCUUCGGGAGGGCGCUUACCACUUUGUGAUUCAUGACUGGGGUGAAGUCGUAACAAGGUAACCGUAGGGGAACCUGCGGUUGGAUCACCUCCUUACCUUAAAGAAGC
rnacentral:rRNA from 1 species